rnacentral:rRNA from 1 species
AUUGAACGCUGGCGGCAUGCCUUACACAUGCAAGUCGAACGGCAGCACGGGUGCUUGCACCUGGUGGCGAGUGGCGAACGGGUGAGUAAUACAUCGGAACAUGUCCUGUAGUGGGGGAUAGCCCGGCGAAAGCCGGAUUAAUACCGCAUACGAUCUACGGAUGAAAGCGGGGGACCUUCGGGCCUCGCGCUAUAGGGUUGGCCGAUGGCUGAUUAGCUAGUUGGUGGGGUAAAGGCCUACCAAGGCGACGAUCAGUAGCUGGUCUGAGAGGACGACCAGCCACACUGGGACUGAGACACAGCCCAGACUCCUACGGGAGGCAGCAGUGGGGAAUUUUGGACAAUGGGCGAAAGCCUGAUUCAGCAAUGCCGCGUGUGUGAAGAAGGCCUUCGGGUUGUAAAGCACUUUUGUCCGGAAAGAAAUCCUUGGCCCUAAUACGGUCGGGGGAUGACGGUACCGGAAGAAUAAGCACCGGCUAACUACGUG